rnacentral:rRNA from 1 species
UACGUAGGGUCCGAGCGUUGUCCGGAAUUAUUGGGCGUAAAGAGCUCGUAGGCGGUUUGUCGCGUCUGCUGUGAAAUCCCCGAGGCUCAACCUCGGGCCUGCAGUGGGUACGGGCAGACUGGAGUGGUGUAGGGGGAGACUGGAAUUCCUGGUGUAGCGGUGGAAUGCGCAGAUAUCAGGAGGAACACCGAUGGCGAAGGCAGGUCUCUGGGCACUUACUGACGCUGAGGAGCGAAAGCGUGGGGAGCGAACAGG